GAGUAUCUUGGGCUAUCUUACU
rnacentral:miRNA from 1 species